rnacentral:lncRNA from 1 species
UUAAAACAUUGAACACCCCUUUUUGAAAACUAAAAAAAAAAAAUUACCCAUCAUCUCUCUUAUUUUCCUUAAAGAAAAACAGAGAGAAAGCUCUCAAAUUUUCUCUUAGGCCUGUGCCACCCUCAUCGAAGAUCCGGCUAGCCGAGGUCGUGAGUUCGUCGGUAAGUCCCCUCUCUCCCUCUCUUGUUUUUUUAAAAAAACCGUUUUAAAAAAAAUUUUGAAAAGGAAACAGAACAAACGAAAUCCAAAUCAAGAGAAAAUUCCAAAAAAAAUGAAAAAUCACCUUUCAAAACAUAGUUCCGAUUCUUGGUUUACUCUUGAACUUUGUAUUAUCUCCGAAAAAAAAUAUAUAUAUAUCCCCCUAAAAUACAAUCGAUUCCUCUCUAAAAAUCCCCUCUAAAAAACAAUCCCUUCUCCCAUCGAAAUAUCAAAAAAUCCCCCUCCAUUACAAAUGAUAGAUUUUGGCUUUUUUAAAGCCGAUCUACGAAACAUUCAUCUCCUAUUUUUUUUGUUUUCGUUCUUUUGUUUAUUCUUUCCCCCAUCCCUCGCAUGCUUUCUCUUGCUGUUGUUUUUGUCCCUGUUGCAGGUGUGUCAGGUGUGGGUGGUGCACGUGAUGGCCAAGGGCAGGGGGGCAUGCGGCUGAACUUUGGUGGCUGCAUCUUGGGGAAGGGUUUACUGCUGAAAAAAAACCUUAAGCAAGUGGGCUAUUAUUUGGGCUAGGGUCUGAUGUAAAUUGGGCUGUUUAAUAUUGUAAAUGGGUUAUUUAUUUGGUUAUAUUUGGGUUUGGUUUUAUUGGGCCCUGAGUAAAAUUUGGGUCUUACACAACUGUUUGAAUGAUAAUCUAAAAUAAAAUUAUUGGGAUUUAAUAUACUUCAUGUUUCUUUCGAAUAUGAAAACCUGUUAGUCUA